rnacentral:misc_RNA from 1 species
UCACUACUUGCGUAGGCAGUUUCAUUAGAGUUCCCAGCUUUACCUGAUGGCAACUAAUGAUAGGGGUUGCGCUCGUUAUGGGACUUAACCCGACACCUCACGGCACGAGCUGACGACAACCAUGCAGCACCUCGUAGGCCGCCCUGACGGGAAUUCCGGUUUCCCGGAACGUCGUCCUACGUUCUAGCCCAGGUAAGGUUCCUCGCGUAUCAUCGAAUUAAACCACAUGCUCCUCCGCUUGUGCGGGCCCCCGUCAAUUCCUUUGAGUUUCAAUCUUGCGACCGUACUCCCCAGGUGGAUCACUUAAUACUUUCGCUUAGUCGCUGACUGUGUAUCGCCAACAACGAGUGAUCAUAGUUUACAGCGUGGACUAC